rnacentral:misc_RNA from 1 species
AACAUCGCGCACCUGCGGGAACCUGCGGACGGAUCAUUACCGAGUUUACAACUCCCAAACCCCUGUGAACAUACCUAUACGUUGCCUCGGCGGAUCAGCCCGCGCCCCGUAAAAAGGGACGGCCCGCCCGAGGACCCCUAAACUCUGUUUUUAGUGGAACUUCUGAGUAAAACAAACAAAUAAAUCAAAACUUUCAACAACGGAUCU